CUGGAUCAUAUACUACAUAUUUAGAAGAAAUUAGAGUAGUAUCUAUACAGAGAGAUGAUGAGACAAUCAAAUUGAAUAGGCUUUAUGCUUUCUUUAACUUUCCUUUUGAUUCCAUUGAAAGCUCUUUUAAGAUGUGUUAAACUUAAAACUUAUUUGUGGCAAGUGAAUAUGGUAUGUGUGUCCGUGUAUGUACAAUGUGUUGAAAAUGAAAACAUGACUGGCACAGAUGACAUGAGUGGGAACACUGCAAAUUUGGUGAAGUCCUAAGAAUUUUAGAAGAAAAAGACUUCUCACAAACAAGGCAUACAACUAUACAAAGUAAGGAUGUGUGUUAGUUUCUAGAAAAGUUAUAAGAAAAUGGGAGAAAUGUCAUAUUAUUGCUACAUCUUUCACAUAAAGAGACUUUCAAUGACCUUUUUUUAAAAUUGAUUUUUUAUUGUAUAAACUUAAGGCAUACAACUUUAAGCCUUUUAAGCAAAGCUUAAACACACUGUCAUUUUGGGAAACAGAAAAUACAAAUAUGAAGAAACAGUAGGUAAAAAAAUACUUUGGGAUGAUGUUAGGAGUCAGGGGACCAGAUACAGUGGCUCAAUAUCUUAAAAAGUCACUUACCUUGUGGUAAUCCUGCUAUAAUCUCACUAGAAAUUUGGCAAAGUAUCUCUUCAUAAGCAUUUGUUUUUAAUUUAAUAGGUCUCCAAACUACUCAGGAUAAUCAGAUCAUAUUUUGGUUAACCUCGAUGUUAACCAUGAUAAAGCCAUUUGGUGCUCAUUUUUUAUCUAAAAGAUGGAAUGAUUUUUUUUGACUGCCUCUCCUCUUUACAAGUCAAUACAUUAUUUCUUUCUUCUUACAGUUAAUCUGAAAUUUAUUCUGUUUUAUAAACCUAUGCCAAAUAACCCCACUAAUAGUAAUGUGUUAAUUUUUUUCUAAUUAUUACAGUAUUUAUAGCUAAUGUUAUCCAAUUAUAUAUAUUGGACUGGAUACUGCCUUGCUUAUGUAUGAUACUUAAGUUUUGUCAAGUCAUUUACAAGGUUCUUGAAUACAGAGUCCCUAUAGUUUUCUUCUAUAUAUUUUUCUUCUUUCUAUUAGCCCACUACUAAGUUGAGAGUAGAUGCUUGAUAAUUUGUUGUCUUGAAAUCAAUUCUAAGAAUUUAAAACUAGAUAUAAACCCCUUCCCCCUCCACUAUUACCAGCUUAAUCCCAUCAACAGUUCAGAAAAAUAAGACAGGAAAUAAUUGCUUGUGAAGGGCCACACAAGAAGUUAGGUAUAAAACUACAAUUGGACCUCAGACUUUCAAACCCAUAAUUCUGAACUCAAAACAAAAGGCCACACAGCCUCCAUCUAUAUAAUUAGAUUUAGAAAGCACUCAGGAAAGCAAAGCUGCUCUUGUCCUGAAGGAAAGUUUGUGACUGUGUAUUCUUUGCAGAAAGUAAGGACUAUGGAUCUCAUUAAAAUGUCCCCAACCUCAGGAUACUAUCAGUAUAAACAUUCUUGAAGGGGAACAUAUAUUCUGGGUCUGGGAGACAAAUCCCAUCUGGUCUACCUUGGAUGGAAGGCUCCCCUACUCUGUAGUGGUUGGUUGUUUUGUUGUGUGUGGACAGCUGAGAGUCAUUUCCUCAUCUUUAUUCCAAACGAAGCUGGACACUCCCUUUUCAUUUUUGAAAAGUAAUCUGUGUGAGAAGGCAGCCAGCAUGUUUACCCACUGGGCUUGGAGCCAGACUUCUUUCCCUGGUUCUUCCUCUCUCUGUUUCUCAAUCUCCCCUGCUCUAAGAUGGCCAGAUAUGAAAAGCUGCCAAUCGGGAUGCCAGAACAUCAAAGAGAUCGCUCAUGAGAGCACACAAAGUCCCAUUUGUUCAGCACUUGGACGGAGAUGCCAGCAGCUUCCAGGCAGAGGGAGAAUCGAAGGUUUGUCUUCACUUGACUUCUCGCUCACACCAUCUGGCUGAUGGAGAAUCCUUUCAUUUCUUCCCGUGGCUGGACCAAAGGGAGAAUGACUGUGAAUAGAAGUGCCUUUUCAACCUUCACUUGUAUCCAUUUUUAAAAGGACAAAUAAGCAUUAUUCACAAUAGCAAGAUGUGGGAACAACUCAAGUGUUAAUCAACAGAUGAGUGGAUAAAGAAAAUGUGCUAUACAUGUACAGUGUGAUAUUAUUCAGCUUUACAAAGGAAGGAAAUCCUGCCAUUUAUGGACAAUGUGGAUGAACCUGGAGGACAUUAUGCUAAGCAAAAUAAGCCAGUACCAAAGGCAAGUUCAAACUCAGAAGGCGAAAGUCCAGCGGAAAGUACCGGAACUGAGGGAAAACUAUUUGCCUAACCACCCACACCACUGAAUGCUUUCUUGGAAUCUGCUGUGUGUUUAAGAUGAUAUCCUACCCACACACAUGUAACCUUUACCUUUUUGCAAACCAAAUCUGAUUCUACAAGGAAAGCACAAAAAUAAAAAUAUUUUUCUCUCAAAUUAUAUCAGAUUUGUUUCUGCUCAAAUUAUCUCAGACUAGUUUUAAAAAUUGUAAACUCUCCCAUAUCAAGCAUCUAACUAUCCACUGAAUUUGGCUAUGCAACUUCAGUUUUUAGAGAAGGUGGUAAAGUCUCUAUUUUUAAGGGGGAAAAAUUAAGGGUUACUAAGAAAUAUAGAAAUAAAACUGGAUUUUUUUUUUUUGCUUUGUUUUACAGUGUUUCUGGAACUUUCUUUCUUUUCAUUCCUCAGUAGCUUUCCGGACUCUAUCCUGAACUGAAUCUUCUUUUGUGAAAGUUACCUUUGACCUGUGACUUGACUAAGCAUGGGCUUUUUACAGUACGUGGUGCUUGAUCAGUCUAUGAAUUCAACCCAAUUAACAUUUUCUCUGUAGAAAUUGCUGCCAUUGGCUCCCAUGACAUCAUGCUUGUGUCCCUCUUUUAGUCUUUCUGACAACUUUUACCCAGUCUUAUUACUCCCUCUUUUUACUUCACGUAUUGUUUAAUUAUUGCUUCUUCCAUGGGGUUCCAUUCCAAACUCUCUUCUUUUUCGUUUCUACAUACUUUCCCUGGAAAAAUUCACUAAGCCAUGAAUAAAAGUAUCAAAUGGACAUUCAUGAAUCCAGGCUUUCAGUCUCCAGCCCCAUCUACCUGCCUGCCCUGACAAUACAAACACUUGAAUGAUUAUUACAUAAAUAAAUAUAUUUCUAACUUCUGCCACUGUUUUCCAAAACCACAGAAGCCAUCUUUAUUUUGGUUGGCCAUUUUAUCCUUGGCAAUAAGCACAGUCCCUGGCACAUGGAAGGCUCUCAAAAAAUCAUCUUAGGUGUUGAAGGAGUGACCUCUUUUUGGCAUCUCCUGAUGCCCUCUAACUUUAAUCUGUCACUAUAUCUUUUUGCUUCUAUCAACUCACAUAUAUUUCAAAUCUGCUUUUUCACCAUCAUCCCCAAUGACAUUCUUUGGAGGAGACAGUAUCUCCUGCCUACCAUCAGCCUUGACUCCAUCCACCAAACUAUCAGUGUUCUUACUUUUUAGACACAAGUAUGGUAGAUGUACUCUCCUGUUCUUGAAUAUUUAAUGGAUUCCAAAUUCUUCUAGUAACAAAUCUAAAUGCCUUAGCCCAUUCUUCAGGGUUCUCAAACCCUAACCUGACUCUAACCUCUCUUUCCAAUCCCAUCUUUUCAAUAUAUUCAUCCUGUAAUUCAGUAACUGCAGAUGUCUCAAGUGCCCUGAACACUCCGUAUUCUUUUUUUCCUAUGUUGGUUUCCUCUGCUCUUUUGAACUUCUUUGUCAUCUGUGUCUUGAACUCUAACACCUAUGUGCAUCUUAUACUUUUAACUUAUAAAAUCCUAUUUUUUGACAGAUUGUUACCCAGUAGUCCUUGGGUGCAACUGAUGAAUGAUGAAUAGGGUCAUAACAUGAAUGUAAACUCACUUUCUCUGACUUUAGACUCCGUCGUCUUUUGUGCUAAGGGGACCGUGGUUCCAGUUCCCAGCAUAUACUCACACUUUGCUCUUAGUCAUUUUUCAUUGCCAUCCCUCUCUGCUGACUGCAUUCAGGUCACCUUUUCUGUAUCACUGUCUUGACUCUGCUCAAACCAUGAUCAUAAAGAGAUUUGUGGUAAAUAUCCUUUUAUCACAUGCAUUGAUCUUAUUAGUGAGUCAGAAACCAGGGUGACCUCAUUUUCUUGUUUUUCUACUGUACCUUUAGUUAUAGAGUGCAUUUCUUGAUUCAUUUUUAGUAUAUCUCUCCACUCUUGAAAAAAUUGUCACAGGUCUUUGAGAGGCUGAGUUGGAAGACAGCUUACAUAGGUAGCUAUCUUUCACAUAAAAAAUCAAGUCUUUUCAUUUCUCCUAGCCAAGCUCCUUGGUCUGGGUUUGUCACUCUGAGAGUCCUACUUGAGGAUUAAGGCUGUGGGAGCCAGCUGUGAGUUCCAUCUCCAAACAUCGUUUUCCCAUGGGUCUCACUGAAUCCUCAGCCCAAAAAGCAUUUCUAGUAGGCUUCUUAGAUAACUACCUUAUUAAAAUGAUUCACAAACUUAAGCCAAGAAGUAUAAAGCCUAUAUAGAAAAGGUAUCUCAAAAUUAAUAUACUACUAGGAAGGCUGAAGUGGGAGGACCACUUGAGGCCAGGAGUUCAAGGCUGCAGUACGUUAUGAUCAUGCAUGUGAAUAGCCACUGCACUCCAGGCUGGACAACGUAGCAAGAUCUUGUUGCUAACAUAAUAAUAAUAAUAACAACUUAUAAGUGACCCAAGAAUGAUUAGCUGCUGUAGUUUUAAAAAUGAAUUAUAUGUAUUCUCUGACAUUGUUUGAUAAAAAAGUAUUAAUGGUCCCACAGCAUCCUACAAUGAUAGAUGAUUCGUGAGGAGUUUAUGUCAGAUUAAUUAACUAGACAAUUUAUAAAUGUGGCUACUAGCAAGGCAGAUUCUGGAUAUCUUGAAGGACCAGGGGAAGAAAAAGAGAUUUUCCCAUAUUCAGUGAGGUCAUUUCUGCAAUUAGUGGUUUGGAGUGGGUCCCCUUAGCAGAGUUUAGCUGGAUGGAAUUUGAACUCACUCUAAUAUAAUAUGAUGGGGUAAAAUGUUUUGAUCAUCUGCCAUUUAUUGACAUACUAAUCUAUUAUCUAUUUAGGCUUUCUUCAAUUCAUUUCUAAGUAGCAAAAAGGAAAACAUCUGUAGGUUCAUGGUGAUUAUAAUACUGAAAGAAAACCUUUUGCUCAGAAGUAGAGCUUUCCUUUAGGCUGAACCCCAAGAAAAAUGUUUUAUUUGCAUCUUUAUUAUAAAGAAAAAAAGGCAUAAUAUAUUGGAUAACUAUAGUGUACAUAUAAGGUGCACAGUCUACAACUUUCCUCUAAGAAGUAUAAAUGUAGUAAUAGUCAUAUGGCUGUGUUUAUCGUGUUUUUAAGGUAAUCAUGCAAUUCAAUUGAGUAAAACUCUAUAAACAGCAGAAAUACAGUCUAUGUGUGUGGUUCUGAUGAAUUAGCAAGAAGACUUAAGAUUUCUCAAAUUCAUAAAAGAGGUAAGAUUGUCAAAGAUGUUUAGGGAAUGUGUUUACAUAAAUGUUACAUUGAAAACAUAGGCUCUUUGAGGAUUAAAUGCUUCUAUAAGCGAAUUUAGCAAAAGAAUACCCUUAAUUGCAUAAAGAUUACUGGGGACAAUAAAAAUACAUACACAUGUCAUGCUAUUAUGAAAUCACAGGUGAUCUGUGGAUAAUUUACACUUGGUUAAACCCCAAUAGAUUUUUUUCUCUGUAUCAUGUUGAUUCAUUAUUUAUAUUAGAUUGGUUAUCUAUAUUAAUGAAGUUAAACAAAGGGGCCAAAUUUGUCUUUGCAAGACAUUUUUACAUUCUAACUAACCUUCAAGAUCCAACUCAGGUACCAUCACUUCCUAAAUUUUCUUUCCCCUCUUUGUUUAUAUGUAUAGUCUAUUUUGCACAGCAUACCUAACUAUAAUUUUAUGCUCCAAUUGUUUGAAUCACGUGCACAGUUCUAGUGUAGUUGAAAAUUAUCCUAAUAUAAUACAGUUCAAUAAUAUGAGACUUUUAACAUAUGCCUUACAUAAAGAUGGAGUUUAAAGCCAAGACUCAUGUACUCUAUCUGGAAAUCUAGGCAGCACAAAUUCACUCAAGACUGAAUGAGCGUUACAGAAUCAGGUCAAGGUGGUAGAGUUUUGGAGACAUUGAAUGUUGUUGUUUCAGCACUGCUCAAAAAAGCACUGCAUGAAAAUAUAUCUGUAACUCCGUACAAAAUCAUGUCCAUUGAAACUUUUCACUGUUGCAGGGAUAUAGGUUUUAUCUAACAUUAUUCUAUUAUUGCUUUUUACUACAGUGCAUAAACAGAGUAUAACUCUGCUUGAAUUUUGAAUUUUCUACUAGUAUAUAUUUCAUAUGAUUUAUUAGUUAUUCAAAAUAUUCUGCUAUAUUUUAAUUGUGAAUCUUGAUACUUCUCAAUUUCCAUAGUCCAGAUUCAAUACACACAAUAUUCCAAUGGGUCAUCACUGCUUCCAUUAAGAUUCUCCAUCUCUGUCCUGGAAUUUACCCUAUCAUUGAAAUCAUGGUUAUGUGUAAUGAACAAGCUAACUGCUCUAGCGUGGAAACACAAAACCUUAUUUGUGAUAAUGAGAUUUGACUUGUCUUCUUCCUCUCACUUUUAAUAAUAUCAUAAUGUUGAUGCAUCUGAAUGUAAUUGGCAUAAACAGUCUUAAGAAAUGCUUUACUGCACCAGAAAACAUAGAUUAGAAUUUAAAUUAUUAUUGUUUUUCCAGACAUUGACUUUUGGGGCCAGGCCAAAUGGAUUUCUGGUUCUUGGAUUGUGCUAAUCAAUAUAACUGUAGCUGUAUGUUUUCAAGAUUAAUUUUAUGACCAUAUUUUCUUAUCUCAAUAGCAAGAACAUUUUUCAUUCUCUUGUCUAUUGGAAUGAGCAAAUUAUUUUUGUAGAACAUUAGAGGGUAAAAACUAUAAGAAGGCAAGUGAAAAAAUUCCCUUUCCCCUACUUUAUCUUUUGCCCUUCCUUUAUUCCUUUUCUUGUAGAAGAAGCAGGGGAAAGAGGAAAAUCCCAUUUUCCCUGCUUCUCCUAUGUGUAGAUAGUAGGAAAUUAAGUAAAAAAUAAAUGUUUUACUUGAGCUCUUAUUGAUUAUUUAUAUUAGAUGAAAAGAUAAGAAAUGGAUAAUGGGGGAGAUUAAUCUCUAAAAAAUAUUAAUUCACAAUAAGUUUGGCUAAAACAUCUUAACACAUAACCAACAACUGACCUGUAUUUGACCAAAGCUAUAUCCUUGUCAUAAAUACUCAGACACCCAUGGACAGUAUUUUUAUGUGGAAGUAUGCUAAUAAUUACUUAAGGUAGAGCCUCAUUUGGGAGGACAGGUACCUAAAGCCUUCAGUGUCUUGGGAAACCUCUGAGAUCAGUGGGCGGCAGCCCGCGGCUUGUCUCUGUUUGGUCUAGUGCUUAAGUGAACUUGCUAACUAAAGCCUUCCUUCCUCCUGUGUAAGUGAAUGAAAAACCUCUCUCAGUUGCUAUCCUGGCUAAGUGGGUGAAUCUGAUGUUUUUGGGUUGCAUCCACUGGGUCUGAAGUUAAAUGUUGUGGUUUACUACUUAUUAUCUGAAGAUCAGAGAUCUUCAACUUCAAACUACUAUGCAUUUUGAGUUAUUUGUAAAUUUCUAGAGAUUUUUGAGGGUGCCCAGCUGGAGUGACAUUUAUUCCUGGAUUUUAUCAUCUCAAAUACAGCACAGAGCCUUAUCUAUAAAUUAUUCCCAUAUUCUCCCUUUGUGGAUAUGUGUAAUGUCAUUUAUAGAAAUAAAUACUUCAUUAUACCUUUGGUCUUAGUGUAGGUUCUGUUUUAUACCUUAAGAACUUUGAAGAACUAUGUAUAUGUAUGAAUCCGUGUGUGUGUUUGAUAUCAAUAUGAGUAUGCUUAUGGUAAUGAAGGAAAGAAAGAAAAGAAUAAAAGUUAGGUGGGCAUACAGAGUAGUAAGCAUCUUGAAAAUAAAUCAAAGUAAUAAACACAUGGCUUAGAAUGCAUAAUAAUUAUACUGAUUUUCAGUUUGUCAAAUAAUCUGUGCUAUCAUAUUCCUAAAGCAGGCAUGUUAAUAAUAGCAUCAUGCUGAUUUAAAAGUGUAUACAAUAAUCCUCCACCAGACACAUUCCUUAAAUUAAACAUCUAUUAUACUAAAUUUUUGGUAUAGCACAGUGUGUAAUUAUUUGUAACUUACUCACAUGUAUAGUAUAGUAUUGGAAUUAGUGUGCUGUAGAUAGACUAGAUCUUAGAAACCAUCUAAACCUGGGAUUUUAAAUAGGUAUCUUUUCUUGUGUUAAUGCCGUCGAAGUGGUAGUGGUUGUGUGGAAUAUUGUUUGAGAAUUCUGGGACUGCAUGUAGAUUAGGAAAAAGGAAUUCUAUAAUUGAUUACUUGUGUAGGCAUCGACCCAGCAUAGAGAAUGUUGGCAAGUAUAUUAGGUGUUUUGGCAUCUCUAAUCUAUUUCAAUAUCCUGAAUUCACAGAAAAAAAGAGAGGCAUUUAUGUAACACUUCAGAGAUUGUGCAACUCAUUCACAUAUGCUGGCACAGUUUCUUUUCAACAGUUUUGUAAAGUAUGCAAUAUUUCGAAGCCCUAGAAAAAAAACAGCUGCUUUUGUCCCUGGCUGGCAGUGAUCAUUUGUGGAUCUUGGAUCUGAAUUCCAGAAGCUCCACAAUAUUAUUCUCACAACAGCACAUGCCAAAAGAUGUCCCCACUGGUAGCCACUCAUUCAUAUUGCUUCUGUCUACAUUCAAAUGUCAGGUAAGAUUCAUCUGACCAAUGAAACCUGGACAUUUGUCCUCCCACAACUGCAAAGGAGUCUAGGAAAUGUACAUGUCUUAGAACAUGUUCUCCAGAAAGCAGAGCCUGAGGCAAGGAUUAACAUGUUGACACUUUCUUUGAGAAGUACAAAUCCAGCAGUGAGGGUGAAGAACAUGAGUAGAGAAAGGUGCUAUGAUGCAUUUCUGUGUUGGUUCCUGUGUUCAGGAUGUGUAUCCACUGGUCUGUCGUACUUCUCCAGAGCAGUUAAAAAGAGGAGCUGAUUCAGGGUAAUCUUUAGAAGGGAGAAAGGAGGAGAAAUUUAUCUAUGGAGCUUUCUCCCAUAUACAUUUCCUGUUUUACUAGACUGGCCUCACCACGGGCUAGUUCCCUCAGACUUUCAACUUGGGUAAUUCAGGUCACUGUUGAAUCCCACUCCUGGUACUGUGGCGUUUCCUCUAGGUCUGGAAAUGUAGGGGAAAAUCAGGGUGGAUUGCUUCAACAGCUGAGGGAUGUGGACCAUGUGCCCAGAACUUCAUCUCAGCCUCCUCCCAGGCUGCAAGCUCAGCAGAGUGAGGCAAAGUUCAGAUAUGGGUGGCACCUUUAGAAGGAAGAAGGCAGUCAAGGGAAUCUAAGGAUACAUACCACGUUUUUACCCUAUAUAGUCAGGUUUUUGGUUUCUACCUUAAGAAGGCUGUUUUCACAACAUAGAAAGCUCCCACGACAUAGGGAGGGUACUCAAAAGAUGUUGGGCACCCCCAAUGGCAGAUGUUCAUUACCACCUCCCGCACCUGAUCACCCAACUAAAGCAUGUCUCCCUUGUCACUCCCUCCACAGCUCGCUAGGGUUUUUCUUCCUUAGAGCGUACCAAAAUCUAAGCUUCACUAAGGCAGUAUUACUUCUGUUUUCAUCAUCAUUGUAUACUCAGGAGUGAAUACAGUGCCUGGUACAAUAUAAGUUUGGAUAAAUAUUUGUUGGUUAGAUGAAUGAAUGAAUGAAUACCAGACAGCAAAUUAUGAGCUAAACAAUGGUAUAGGUGGUUAUUACAGGGAUGAAGAUAAAGAAAAUAAUCUUCACCCAACUUGGAAAAGUUUCACAGAAGAGGUGGGACCUGGGUUAGGCCUUGGCAUAUAGUUUUAACCAGAAAAGUAAAGAGAGUAGAGAUACUCAAGGCAGAAAAGCCAUGAAAGUAAAGAUACAUAUGUGAAAAUGGUCUUCAUUGGUUCAUAAGAUGAUGAAGAAACCAAUGCUCUAUCAAAUUUCUGGCAAACGUAUUAAUACAUAUAUUUAUCUAUGGAUUUCUGCUGAUCUCUAAUUAUUUUCCUAACUGAGAGGUCUACAAAGCAUUGUAUUGGAAGCAGGCCUUAAUCUAUCAUGUCCAAACCUCUCCUGAGAGACAUUUUCCUUCAGUGACCUGGGAAGCUGAACUUUCUUAAUUGGAUUAGUGGCAUUUUGCUGUUUCAAACUGAAACAGGAUCUACUGCCCUAUACUAGCUAGCGCUUUAUAAUCUACAUCAUCUAUUUUGCGGUCAUUGUUGAAGCAUCAGAGCUAACCCAGGGAGACAGGAAGUGGCAUUAGAUUUUUUUCUGUUUUAGCCCUGCUUAGAGAUGUAGUCCAAGAUGAUAAAAACAAUGUGACCUUUCUAGAUCAGAAUACGUUUUUGCUGUAGAGCUGAGGUUCACAAAGAAAAGCCUAAAGGAACUUUUCAGUGAUUCAGGGUGGAUAUCUCCUGGGCACUUAAUAUUGCAAAGGGCCUUCGAUUCAACCCACUUGCCCUCGGCUAUUUUCUUAAUGAGAAAGUGGAUCCUACAAACUUUAAUCCCAUUUACCGAAAUAUCAAAGCAAUCUGUACUUUAUAUCAAAUAAUUAUAUCUGAGGUAAGCUUAGGAAAUUUAGCCAUUUGUUGAGGGUUGUUUUUCCCAUAACAAAGUCUCUAAAUAGAAUUAUCAAGACUAUCAAAUGUUAAUUUGUCAAGAGAAACAGAAUAGCUAAUAAGGAUAAUUAGAUUUAUAUUGCAAAUAGAGUAUUAUCAUGAAGGUUUCCAUGUCUCCUAAAGGAAGUAUGACUGAAAUAUGACUGCAGGGAAGUCUUAAUCAACCAAACUCUAGAGUCAUUUUCUCUUCAAUGUACGACAGAAUCUUGCUCUGAGGCAGCGUUAGAGAGAAUGCCACCCUGGCAUUUUAGAACUCAGGUCUUCAACUGUGACUUAUCUCCUGAAGAAAAGCACCCUCAUUCAUUAAAUAGACAGGGAAAGGUGGCUGCCUGGCUUCCCUGGCUUUUCUGAUUAAGAAGAGAGAUGAGCAUACAGCUUCUAUCCCUGCACAAGGGCAAACACCAGCCUGCUGGCAGAAUUUUCAAAGAUUCCAAGAUUUCUCAUGGAUGAGGCUUCCAAUGACUUUUCCCUCCAAGAGUAGACAUUGAUCACCUUGUAGCAGAAGUUCUGAAUACCUAAUGCUUUUUCUGCACUUCUAGGAAUCUGAGAGCAUUUGCUCUACACCUUGUAUUCUAUCUAAUUCUGCCGUCUCUUGUUCUCCUCCACUCCGAAUGUUUCUUCUUAUAACAUUAGCCUGGUGAAUUAUAAUUUUUUGAGACGUUGGUCGAGGUACAAUUUUAAAUUGCUUUUGUGAAAACCAAUACCUGUUAUUUGCAUUGCAGGUAAGUUAUUUCAAUUUUAGGGCAGGGAUUACAAAUUUUUUUCGUCAAUAAAAUCCCAAAGAGGACAGAAAGAGAAGGAGGGGUUUGCUAAAAGAAUGAGAUUAGAAAGACAGCUGCUGACAGUAAGUUUUUUUUCUCAGGAAAAAUCAGAAAACUUCCCUUGUUCUCCUUCCUUGGCCCCUAAUUAACGUGACUACCCAUGGGAAGAGCAGCUGUGUCAGCCACUUCCCUUUCCUGUCUUUUUCAAUGAAAAUGACCAGAAACUGAAAGAAGUUCACAGUGUGGCAACUGCACAAUCUCAGUUAAAUAGCCUUGAAGACCACAGGUUAAUCGGUUGGAUCCUUGGUUAUUGAAAAACUGGUUGAAGAGGGACAGCUUCCCCUUGCCAUGUACUGGCUAACACCACUAGUUUUCUCACUGUUCUUCUCCACAUGACUGUUGGACUCCAUUCCAUGCUUCUUGCUUCCUCCUCUAUAUUCUCCAUUUAGUUACUUUGAAAAAAAGCUUUAUGUACAUAUAAAACUUUAUAUAUAUAAUAUAAUAUAUAUAUAUAUACACACACUCAGUUUUGAAACUGUGAAACAAAACACCCAUAAUCCUAUUGCCCAGAGAUAAGCAUCUUUAACAUUUUCUUUGGCAUUUGCUAUGCACAUAUAUGUAGUUAGUUUUGUAAAAUUGGAAUCAUUCUGUAUAUUUUAUAAUAGUUUAACUAUUUCUCACAUGAAUAUACACUUCUGUAGUAAGAUCUUAUAUGACUAUAUGUUCUUCUAUUGUACGAAAAUCCUAUUAUUCGGUCUAAUUCUGAGUAUUUAUGUUGUUUUGAAAUCUUUUGUCAUAAAUAAGACUGAAAUGAACAUUUUAGCAUUUAAUAUUUUAUAGAUAUCUCUGAGAAUUUCCUUAGGGUAAAUUUCUCAAGAGGGAAUUUUCAAAUCAGAUUAUAGAUAUUCAAAGAGUCUCCAGAAAGCUAUUAUUUAUUUAUUUCCCAUUUAAUGCCAAAUAAGUGUUGAUUUUUCAACAUAGCAUUACACUAUACAAUAUUAAAGAUGAAAGGUCUUAUGUUUGAUUCAACUUCUUAAAAAUGGAAACUUUUAUAAGGAAAAAUUUAAUUUCUUUAAUUUAUAUGAACAUUCUUGACUUCUUCGGUUUUAAAAUUAAUUUGGACAAUACUGCCAUACUUUAGUCUCUUUAUGAAGUAGUGACAAAUUAAAAUUAAAUACCUUUCCUUUUAUUUUAGGAUCUCAGAUAAUCCUCCGCAGAAGAGCCCAUAUGUAGGAUCUAUGUGUCUGGACACAAAUUCAAAAGUCCCAUCCCUCCUUGACCAACCAGCAAAUGCAUUAAGAAAACAAUAUGUGCCCCCCCAUAGCAGAUAGCAACAGAACACAGGCUAUGAGCAGUCAUGCUGUGCUAGAAAUUUAGUUUCUUCACCACUCAAAAAGAAAGAAGGGAGAGCAUUAUACUAAACCUCUGUGGAAUCUUAAGUGCCCCCAAACCAACAGACAUAUUGCAUUUUACAUGAAUGGAUUCACUACCACUAUCAUGACCAAAGAGCAGUUACAAGGCAUCCUCUUGUGGUACUAGUACAAAACAAAUAGAGAAUUAUGGCCCCUACUCUGGAGCUGCUUGCUGAAGUCUCUUCUAAGAUCUGCCAGUAGCAAGCAGUGCUCAUAACAAAACCAUGACAUUGAGCUUGACGCAAGUAGAGAAAAACAAAGGAAAACAUGCUACCCCAGUAACUACCAUAUAACCACCUAAAACAGAAUAAUUACAAAGUGAAUAGGGAAACAGAAGAAAAAAGAAUAUACAUGGUUUCCUGAUGCCACAGUGUGGCAUUGCUACAGAGGACUAAGAAACAACUAAGGCUGACAAACCAGUCUGGCAUGGAACUAAGAGGGAAGGUGGUUCCUUCUCAGUUAAGCUUUAUGUUAGUGCUGCAUUGAAGAGGUAGCAUCACAUCAGCAAUAGCUUGUAACAAAAAAUAAUCAUGGGAUGUAAUUUAAUGUAUGCUUAGGAUCAAAAGAACCAACAAUCUUUGCCCAUUAACAGUUUAAUCAGAUGUACACAUGGAUCAUAUCACAUGUACAUACUUAGUUUAAGUCAUUUAUACCAAGCUAACAGAAAAAGGAUAGCAAUUCCAAACAUUUUGCUAGCACAUAACUUUGCAAAAAAAUUAAAUUGGUGAAGAAAAGAACCAUGCAAUUUUACAUUUUUGGUGUGUGUUUUCAAGCUGCUUCCAAAUUUAUAAAAUCACUUCCCUUUAUAACAAAGGAUUUUCAGAAUCUAAAUAUCAAAUGAAAUACUCCUAGCACUUAAAGAGUUUAUUAGACACAUACAAUUACGUUCAAUGAAGUUAUGAGGGAGCUUCAAAGUGGAAGAUUAAGAAUUCACAGUGAUAAAACUUCAAACACAUCUCAGAAUAAAUUCAAGCUUUUUAGCUAACAUAUGUGUCUUUAUCAAUUUUUUAAACGCAGAAGGGCCCAUGAAACACACAGCAGAAUUCAAUGUUCUAUGCUAAAUGCAGAGAAUUGUAUAGUUCACAGCAUGACUUACAUAUAUUAUCACCUUUCCUCCACAAUGCUUAAAGCUAUUAACACAAAGCAGAACACAUCUCCACAUUAACCUAUGUUCUGCUGUAUGUAACAAAGACUGCCUUCCUGCACCAAGGAAAGAAGUGACUCUUGAAAUACCGAGUGGAAUUUCUUUAACCAAAAUAAGAUUGAAGCACUGGCAGACCCACAGCAGGUGAUCAGGAGCCACAUGCUUAAUGGACAAGACCAAUUCUUUGCAUUCAGUCUAAUAAUUAUGUCUCAAAUUUUUAGACUGUUGUGUUCGUUGCCCUCCUAGUCCAACCUCUUCAGCAGCAACUGGUGCUGCUUCAGCUCCAGCACUGGUACCUAGGCCACUCUCUGACACAGGCUGGUCAACAGGUACCAGCUGAUGAGGAAGUACAGCUCCGACUCCAAGACAGGCACUGGGCAUCUGGCCACCAGGGCUUGGCCGAGGCUGGGCACAGGGCGAGAGGUGGGAACAGGUGGUGGGCAAAGCAUUCAGGCCCCAUGAGGCUGGACCAGGCCAGGGCCAGGCCUCCACCCCAGGUACAUGCCACAGCUAAGCUGUGCAACUCAGAAGGGUAUAAUUUAAUGUAUUUUUACCUGCAGUAUGUGAACUUACUUAUAAACAGUAUUG
rnacentral:lncRNA from 1 species